rnacentral:rRNA from 1 species
GCUUGUCUCAAAGAUUAAGCCAUGCAUGUCUAAGUACAAGCCUCAGUAAGGUGAAACCGCGAAUGGCUCAUUAAAUCACACCUAAUCUACUGGAAAGUUACUAGUUACUUGGAUAACUGAGGUAAUUCUUGAGCUAAUACAUGCGAAAAAUCUCGACUCACGGAGAGAUGCUUUUAUUAGAUCAAAACCAAACGGCUUCGGCCGUCUCAUUGGUGACUCUGAAUAACUUUGAGCGGAUCGCACGGCCUUGUGCCGGCGACGUGUCCUUCCAAGGUGUGCCCUAUCAACUGUCGACUGUGGCAUAGACGCCCACAGUGGUUUUGACGGGUAACGGGGAAUUAGGGUUCGAUUCCGGAGAGGGAGCCUGAGAAACGGCUACCACUUCUAAGGAAGGCAGCAGG